ACAAGCUUGUGUCUAUAGGUAU
rnacentral:miRNA from 1 species